rnacentral:rRNA from 1 species
UGGGGAAUAUUGGAUAAUGGGCGAAAGGAUCCAGCCAUGCCGCGUGUGUGAAGAAGGCCUUUUGGUUGUAAAGCACUUUAAGUGGGGAGGAAAAGCUUAUGGUUAAUACCCAUAAGCCCUGACGUUACCCACAGAAUAAGCACCGGCUAACUCUGUGCCAGCAGCCGCGGUAAUACAGAGGGUGCAAGCGUUAAUCGGAAUUACUGGGCGUAAAGCGCGCGUAGGUGGUUAUUUAAGUCAGAUGUGAAAGCCCCGGGCUUAACCUGGGAACUGCAUCUGAUACUGGAUAACUAGAGUAGGUGAGAGGGGAGUAGAAUUCCAGGUGUAGCGGUGAAAUGCGUAGAGAUAGAUUUGGAGGAAUACCGAUGGCGAAGGCAGCUGCUCCCGCGGCAUCAUACUGACAUGAGGUGCGAAAGCGUGGGUAGCAAACAGGAUUAGAUACCCUGGUAGUCCACGCCGUAAACGAUGUCUACCAGUCGUUGGGUCUUUUAAAGACUUAGUGACGCAGUUAACGCAAUAAGUAGACCGCCUGGGGAGUACGGCCGCAAGGUUA